AUACGGAGGAUGCGAGCGUUAUCCGGAUUUAUUGGGUUUAAAGGGUGCGUAGGCUGUGCGUUAAGUCAGGGGUGAAAUGCCGUCGCUCAACGACGGAGCUGCCCUUGAUACUGGCGUGCUGGAGUACGGAUGCCGUUGGAGGAAUGAGUGGUGUAGCGGUGAAAUGCUUAGAUAUCACUCAGAACACCGAUUGCGAAGGCAUCUGACGAAUCCGUCACUGACGCUGAGGCACGAAAGCGUGGGGAUAGAACAGGAUUAGAUACCCUGGUAUUCCACGCCGUAAACGAUGAUGACUAACCGUCGGCGAUAGACAGCCGGUGGCCAAGCGAAAGCGAUAAGUUAUCCACCUGGGGAGUACGACCGCAAGGUUGAAACUCAAAGGAAUUGACGGGG
rnacentral:rRNA from 1 species